GGUUAAGCGACUAAGCGUACACGGUGGAUGCCCUGGCAGUCAGAGGCGAUGAAGGACGUGCUAAUCUGCGAUAAGCGUCGGUAAGGUGAUAUGAACCGUUAUAACCGGCGAUUUCCGAAUGGGGAAACCCAGUGUGAUCCGUCACACUAUCAUUACGUGAAUACAUAGCGUAAUGAAGCGAACCGGGGGAACUGAAACAUCUAAGUACCCCGAGGAAAAGAAAUCAACCGAGAUUCCCCCAGUAGCGGCGAGCGAACGGGGAGCAGCCCAGAGUCUGAAUCAGCUUGUGUGUUAGUGGAACGGUCUGGAAAGUCCGACGGUACAGGGUGAUAGUCCCGUACACCAAAAUGCACAGGUUGUGAACUCGAAGAGUAGGGCGGGACACGUGGUAUCCUGUCUGAAUAUGGGGGGACCAUCCUCCAAGGCUAAAUACUCCUGACUGACCGAUAGUGAACCAGUACCGUGAGGGAAAGGCGAAAAAGAACCCCGGCGAGGGGAGUGAAAAAGAACCUGAAACCGUGUACGUACAAGCAGUGGGAGCCUCUUUAUGGGGUGACUGCGUACCUUUUGUAUAAUGGGUCAGCGACUUAUAUUCUGUAGCAAGGUUAACCGUAUAGGGGAGCCGAAGGGAAACCGAGUCUUAACUGGGCGUUAAGUUGCAGGGUAUAGACCCGAAACCCGGUGAUCUAGCCAUGGGCAGGUUGAAGGUUGGGUAACACUAACUGGAGGACCGAACCGACUAAUGUUGAAAAAUUAGCGGAUGACUUGUGGCUGGGGGUGAAAGGCCAAUCAAACCGGGAGAUAGCUGGUUCUCCCCGAAAGCUAUUUAGGUAGCGCCUCGUGAAUUCAUCUUCGGGGGUAGAGCACUGUUUCGGCUAGGGGGUCAUCCCGACUUACCAACCCGAUGCAAACUGCGAAUACCGAAGAAUGUUAUCACGGGAGACACACGGCGGGUGCUAACGUCCGUCGUGAAGAGGGAAACAACCCAGACCGCCAGCUAAGGUCCCAAAGUCAUGGUUAAGUGGGAAACGAUGUGGGAAGGCACAGACAGCCAGGAUGUUGGCUUAGAAGCAGCCAUCAUUUAAAGAAAGCGUAAUAGCUCACUGGUCGAGUCGGCCUGCGCGGAAGAUGUAACGGGGCUAAACCAUGCACCGAAGCUGCGGCAGCGACACUAUGUGUUGUUGGGUAGGGGAGCGUUCUGUAAGCCGUUGAAGGUGUACUGUGAGGUAUGCUGGAGGUAUCAGAAGUGCGAAUGCUGACAUAAGUAACGAUAAUGCGGGUGAAAAACCCGCACGCCGGAAGACCAAGGGUUCCUGUCCAACGUUAAUCGGGGCAGGGUGAGUCGACCCCUAAGGCGAGGCCGAAAGGCGUAGUCGAUGGGAAACAGGUUAAUAUUCCUGUACUUGGUGUUACUGCGAAGGGGGGACGGAGAAGGCUAUGUUAGCCGGGCGACGGUUGUCCCGGUUUAAGCAUGUAGGCGGAGGUUCCAGGUAAAUCCGGUACCUUUUUAACGCUGAGGUGUGAUGACGAGGCACUACGGUGCUGAAGUAACAAAUGCCCUGCUUCCAGGAAAAGCCUCUAAGCAUCAGGUAACACGAAAUCGUACCCCAAACCGACACAGGUGGUCAGGUAGAGAAUACCAAGGCGCUUGAGAGAACUCGGGUGAAGGAACUAGGCAAAAUGGUGCCGUAACUUCGGGAGAAGGCACGCUGAUAUGUAGGUGAAGCGGUUUACCCGUGGAGCUGAAAUCAGUCGAAGAUACCAGCUGGCUGCAACUGUUUAUUAAAAACACAGCACUGUGCAAACACGAAAGUGGACGUAUACGGUGUGACGCCUGCCCGGUGCCGGAAGGUUAAUUGAUGGGGUUAUCCGUAAGGAGAAGCUCUUGAUCGAAGCCCCGGUAAACGGCGGCCGUAACUAUAACGGUCCUAAGGUAGCGAAAUUCCUUGUCGGGUAAGUUCCGACCUGCACGAAUGGCGUAAUGAUGGCCAGGCUGUCUCCACCCGAGACUCAGUGAAAUUGAACUCGCUGUGAAGAUGCAGUGUACCCGCGGCAAGACGGAAAGACCCCGUGAACCUUUACUAUAGCUUGACACUGAACACUGGUCCUUGAUGUGUAGGAUAGGUGGGAGGCUUUGAAGUGUGGACGCCAGUCUGCAUGGAGCCAUCCUUGAAAUACCACCCUUUAAUGGCUGGUGUUCUAACGUGGACCCGUUACCCGGGUUGCGGACAGUGUCUGGUGGGUAGUUUGACUGGGGCGGUCUCCUCCUAAAGAGUAACGGAGGAGCACGAAGGUUAGCUAAUCCUGGUCGGACAUCAGGAGGUUAGUGCAAAGGCAUAAGCUAGCUUGACUGCGAGAGUGACGGCUCGAGCAGGUGCGAAAGCAGGUCUUAGUGAUCCGGUGGUUCUGAAUGGAAGGGCCAUCGCUCAACGGAUAAAAGGUACUCCGGGGAUAACAGGCUGAUACCGCCCAAGAGUUCAUAUCGACGGCGGUGUUUGGCACCUCGAUGUCGGCUCAUCACAUCCUGGGGCUGAAGUAGGUCCCAAGGGUAUGGCUGUUCGCCAUUUAAAGUGGUACGCGAGCUGGGUUUAGAACGUCGUGAGACAGUUCGGUCCCUAUCUGCCGUGGGCGCUGGAGAAUUGAGGGGGGCUGCUCCUAGUACGAGAGGACCGGAGUGGACGCAUCACUGGUGUUCGGGUUGUCAUGCCAAUGGCAUUGCCCGGUAGCUAAAUGCGGAAGAGAUAAGUGCUGAAAGCAUCUAAGCACGAAACUUGCCCCGAGAUGAGUUCUCCCUGAGACUUAAAGUCUCCUGAAGGAACGUUAAAGACGAUGACGUUGAUAGGUCGGGUGUGUAAGUGUAGCGAUACAUUGAGCUAACCGAUACUAAUGAACCGUGAGGCUUAACCUU
rfam:Escherichia coli ISC11, WGS project CBWP01000000 data, contig: c2